CAUGCAGUCGAGCGAAUGGAUUAAGAGCUUGCUCUUAUGAAGUUAGCGGCGGACGGGUGAGUAACACGUGGGUAACCUGCCCAUAAGACUGGGAUAACUCCGGGAAACCGGGGCUAAUACCGGAUAACAUUUUGAACCGCAUGGUUCGAAAUUGAAAGGCGGCUUCGGCUGUCACUUAUGGAUGGACCCGCGUCGCAUUAGCUAGUUGGUGAGGUAACGGCUCACCAAGGCAACGAUGCGUAGCCGACCUGAGAGGGUGAUCGGCCACACUGGGACUGAGACACGGCCCAGACUCCUACGGGAGGCAGCAGUAGGGAAUCUUCCGCAAUGGACGAAAGUCUGACGGAGCAACGCCGCGUGAGUGAUGAAGGCUUUCGGGUCGUAAAACUCUGUUGUUAGGGAAGAACAAGUGCUAGUUGAAUAAGCUGGCACCUUGACGGUACCUAACCAGAAAGCCACGGCUAACUACGUGCCAGCAGCCGCGGUAAUACGUAGGUGGCAAGCGUUAUCCGGAAUUAUUGGGCGUAAAGCGCGCGCAGGUGGUUUCUUAAGUCUGAUGUGAAAGCCCACGGCUCAACCGUGGAGGGUCAUUGGAAACUGGGAGACUUGAGUG
rnacentral:rRNA from 2 species